UUUAUCUUGGCAGAAUUAGUGUGUCAAAUUUAGAAUUUGAGGAUGACCCAGUCAGAUAAAA
rnacentral:tRNA from 1 species